rnacentral:rRNA from 1 species
UACGUAGGGGGGCAAGCGUUGUCCGGAAUCAUUGGGCGUAAAGAGCGCGUAGGCGGCCCGAUAAGUCCGCUGUGAAAGUCGGGGGCUCAACCCUCGAAUGCCGGUGGAUACUGUCGGGCUCGAGUACGGGAGAGGCGAGUGGAAUUCCUGGUGUAGCGGUGAAAUGCGCAGAUAUCAGGAGGAACACCGAUUGCGAAGGCGGCUCACUGGCCCGGUACUGACGCUGAGGUGCGAAAGCGUGGGGAGCAAACAGG